ACUCCUGAUUUCACGUCAGGUCAUGAUCUCAGGGUUGUGAGAUCGAGCCCCACAUCAGGCUCUGUGCAUAUUUAAAAAAAGUUUAUACAGAGGACUUAACUUGGUUUAGUUAUUUGCUCUCAACAACAUCUUAAUUGUCUCAAGAACACCUCACUCUCAUCAGACUGCAUCCCCAAAAGGGCUGCCGGCAUGAGAAUAGUAGUUUGCAGGCACAUUUCAAGGACAGGGGAGGGUUUAAGGAGCUUCUUCUCAAGAUCUUUGACCUAACAUCUGCAAAGAUCCUUUCUUCCAAAUAAGGUGACAGACGUGUCCUGUUUCCAGAAAUAUGACGUGGGCAUACCUUCAGGGGGAACACCAUUUGACACUCCACAGAAACUACACAUUAUUAUUACAUAAAAACUGUGCUCCUGUCUCGGGUAAGAGAAAUAUUGGCCCCUGAAAGAUGCCCACAUUGUAACCCUUGGAACAUAUCAUAUUGCCAUGCAAACAGGCUUCUGCAGAAGUGAUUCAGUUAAGGAUUCUGAGAUGGGAAGAUUGUCCCGGAUUUUCCAGGAAACCCAAUAUGAUCAGAAGAACCAGUGUAAGAGGGAAGCAGGAAGGUCAGAGUGAAGGAGGAUGUGGCUACACGGCUGAGGACAGGGGGGCAGGUGCACACACCAAGGACGGAGGGCAGCCUCCGGAACCAGGAAAAGGCAAGGGACAGAAUCUUCCCUACAGCAUCCGGAUAAAACACAGUCCUUGAUUUUAACCUUACAAAACCAUUUCAGACUUUUUCUUCUAGACAUGCAACUAAUACAUCUGUAUUGUUUUAUACCACUAAGUUCCAGGUAAUUUGUUACAGAGCAUUGGAAAUGACACAGGAUGCAAUGUCUUUCACGGCAUAUUAACAGUUGUGUGUUUAAGGACAGUCUGACUACCAUGGUUUUAAUUCACUGCUAGGGCUGCCUGAUUUGAGAAAAGGGAAGUCAAUUCUAUUCUAUUUCUACUCAAGGAAUUAUUUUAUGUUAGUUGGGAUGUUAACAGAAUGUUAACCUGAUGUUAACAAAAUCAAGAAUUUGAAUUCUGUUUUGUUUUGUUUUUCCUUAGCUUCGAGAUAAGACCUGCCAUUGACCCUACAAGAGGAUUCCUAACAGAUGUUUUACGGGGUCACUCUCAGGAGUCCAUGCUCUCUCAAUAUAGCCAGAGAGAGAGCGAGCAUGAGCAGGAGGGCCAGAGGGAGAGCGAGAGAGAAUUUCAAGCACACCCCUACCUGAACAUGAAGUGACGGGGGCGGAUCUCAGGACCAUGAGAUCACUACCUGAGCCAAGACCAAGAGCUGGAUGCUGAACUGGCUACACCACCCAGGCGCCCCAAAAUUAAACACUUUAAACAAUAGUAAAUUGUCAA